rnacentral:rRNA from 1 species
CCUGAGAAACCCGAAAGAUCGAAUGAGGAGAUUCAUCGUCAGCGUAUUCAAUAUAUGCAUGAGUUAUGAUAUAAAAUUUUGUUUCUCACGAAAUUAAGAUUUUUACAUGCUUAUGUCAUUUAAUUGUUGAAUAUCGUCGGCGUGCACUUCUCCUCUAGUAGGACGUCGCGACCCGUUGGGUGUCGAUUUACGGCCCGAAUGGAGUCUUUGAUGUCAUUUUAACGAAUGUUAUGUCAAAGACCAUCGGUGUUAUUAUUCUAAUCGGCUGCCCGGCGGUAAAUAUAAAAAUGGUAAUGAGUCGCAUUUUUUAAAUGCGUCAAGCUCGCCACAAGUAAAAUCAGUGUCUAACCUAGCAGUUACGAACUUUGUUUCGUCGCUAGGCCUGAUUUGCUGUUCGUUGUGCGUAGUUCUUUGACAGGCUCUUAUUAAUUAGUAAAAUAAUUAAUUACCGAUCAGCGACGCUAUUGCUUUGGUAUUUC